rnacentral:rRNA from 1 species
GACGAACGCUGGCGGCGUGCUUAACACAUGCAAGUCGAACGGAAAGACCCUGCUUUUGUGGGGUGCUCGAGUGGCGAACGGGUGAGUAACACGUGAGUAACCUGCCCUUGACUUUGGGAUAACUUCAGGAAACUGGGGCUAAUACCGGAUAGGAGCUCCUGCUGCAUGGUGGGGGUUGGAAAGUUUCGGCGGUUGGGGAUGGACUCGCGGCUUAUCAGCUUGUUGGUGGGGUAGUGGCUUACCAAGGCUUUGACGGGUAGCCGGCCUGAGAGGGUGACCGGCCACAUUGGGACUGAGAUACGGCCCAGACUCCUACGGGAGGCAGCAGUGGGGAAUAUUGCACAAUGGGCGGAAGCCUGAUGCAGCAACGCCGCGUGCGGGAUGACGGCCUUCGGGUUGUAAACCGCUUUCGCCUGUGACGAAGCGUGAGUGACGGUAAUGGGUAAAGAAGCACCGACUAACUACGUG